rnacentral:rRNA from 1 species
AAUACUGCAGUUCGAGCGGACAGAUGGGAGCUUGCUCCCUGAUGUUAGCGGCGGACGGGUGAGUAACACGUGGGUAACCUGCCUGUAAGACUGGGAUAACUCCGGGAAACCGGGGCUAAUACCGGAUGGUUGUUUGAACCGCAUGGUUCAAACAUAAAAGGUGGCUUCGGCUACCACUUACAGAUGGACCCGCGGCGCAUUAGCUAGUUGGUGAGGUAACGGCUCACCAAGGCGACGAUGCGUAGCCGACCUGAGAGGGUGAUCGGCCACACUGGGACUGAGACACGGCCCAGACUCCUACGGGAGGCAGCAGUAGGGAAUCUUCCGCAAUGGACGAAAGUCUGACGGAGCAACGCCGCGUGAGUGAUGAAGGUUUUCGGAUCGUAAAGCUCUGUUGUUAGGGAAGAACAAGUACCGUUCGAAUAGGGCGGUACCUUGACGGUACCUAACCAGAAAGCCACGGCUAACUACGUGCCAGCAGCCGCGGUAAUACGUAGGUGGCAAGCGUUGUCCGGAAUUAUUGGGCGUAAAGGGCUCGCAGGCGGUUUCUUAAGUCUGAUGUGAAAGCCCCCGGCUCAACCGGGGAGGGUCAUUGGAAACUGGGGAACUUGAGUGCAGAAGAGGAGAGUGGAAUUCCACGUGUAGCGGUGAAAUGCGUAGAGAUGUGGAGGAACACCAGUGGCGAAGGCGACUCUCUGGUCUGUAACUGACGCUGAGGAGCGAAAGCGUGGGGAGCGAACAGGAUUAGCA